GACGUUGAUUGACCAUGGAAAGGCUCUCCAACACCAUCGGAUGACACGGAUAAGCAACUCUUCUCGAGCUGCUACACAAUUCAAUUGGGUGAUGACCGCCUUGCAAUCUUUUGGAUGGAUCGUUGGCUCCAUGGUGAGGCCCCCUGCUGUGUUUCACCGGACAUCUUCAAGCUUGCUUGUUUCAAAAAGCGUUCCGUAAGGGAGGCGAUCACCAAUGGUAGAUGGAUGCAAGGAUUAAACAUGACAAGCAACGAGAAUCAACUGAUGCAGUUCAUCAAGUUGUGGGACGCGGUACAGUGGGUGGAGCUAUCUGACUCCAAGGAUCAUAUCGGAUGGUCACUAACUGCAAAUGCAAAGUACUCUGCCUCCUCAACCUAUGAUAUUCAGUUCGUGACCAGGAUCGAGCAGCCAAAUUUGGCGAAGGUGUGGACCUGCAGAUGGAAGGGAAGGUUAAGUUCUACAUCUGGUUACUCCUGCAAAACAGGAACUGGACCGCGGAUCGUUUGCACAUGA
rnacentral:rRNA from 1 species